UACGCGAUGCCGAAGUCGGGUCGCGUAUCAAACCUUGCUGAUUGUUCAGGAGAUUGACCAUGACC
rnacentral:sRNA from 1 species